rnacentral:misc_RNA from 1 species
AACCUAGCACACCUGCGGUGUGUACCUGCGGAAGGAUCAUUACCGAGUUUACAAACUCCCAACCCUAUGUGAACCUUACCAAUCGUUGCUUCGGCGGGCUUAGCCCCCGCGCCCUCGCCGGCGCCGGGAGAAAGGCGCCCGCCGGGGACCCCAAACCCAAUGUUUUUCAUGCAGUAUUUCUGAGUGGCAAACGCAAAAAUAAAUCAAAACUUUCAACAACGGAUCUCAGAUCGGAAGAGC